AAUCAACGCUGGCGGCGUGCCUAACACAUGCAAGUCGAACGCGAAAGCCCCGCAAGGGGUAAGUAGAGUGGCAAACGGGUGAGUAACACGUGGGUGACCUGCCUUCGAGUGGGGGAUAACGUCCCGAAAGGGACGCUAAUACCGCAUGACAUCCUGCUUUUGAAAAAGCGGAGAUCAAAGCUGGGGAUCGCAAGACCUAGCGCUUGAAGAGGGGCCCGCGCCUGAUUAGCUAGUUGGUGAGGUAACGGCUCACCAAGGCGACGAUCAGUAUCCGGCCUGAGAGGGCGGACGGACACCCGGGGACUGAGACACGGCCCAGACCCCUACGGGAGGCAGAAGUGGGGAAUUUUUCGCAAUGGGCGCAAGCCUGACGACGCAACGCCGCGGGGGGGACGAAGAUCUUCGGGUCGUAAACCCCUGUCGGGCGGGACGAACGCUUCGCGGAUGAAAAACCCGCGGAAUUGACGGUACCGCUAAAGGAAGCCCCGGCUAACUCCGU
rnacentral:rRNA from 1 species